GUUUGCCUUAGUUUUUUUUAAUUUUUGUUUUAUUUCCGGGCUGCUUAUUGAUCCAUCCUGGGUCUGCAAUAAACCAAAUGAUUUCUGGUAAGGUUUGACCAAGUGAGAUGGAAAAUCAAGUGGUAAACUCCAAAACAGGCUUGCAUAUUGGAGACUUAUCCACCACAUGGUGAUGCCUUCCCUGACCUCCUUGAUUGCAGUGUGGGAUGUGCCCUGAUCCUUGGAAAGGGGUGAGUGAUUCCUGCAUCCUCACUAGAAGGUAAU
rnacentral:lncRNA from 1 species